CCAAAUCUGCUGCCCAACCGGGGAGUCUCUCCCCUAAGUGUCACUGAGCCCUCCCAGGACAUAAGGACUUAAUUCCCUUCUGCUAGACAGCCCACUCGGGCACCAUCUGGAAGUCUCUGGCAAAGAGGUGAAACAGCCUUCCCUGAUGAAUUUUUUCCACCUUUAUUGAGAUAAAACAGAUGUUUGUCACCCGGCCUUCCAUUGUCCGUAGGUCGGGGGUUGCCAGGCUGUGGUAACACCAGAAGAUAAGCGGUUACUGGGCACACAGGUGGAGAUGGCUGCCAAGUGGCACCCGGCAUCCCCGCGGCGCCGUUCCCCAGAACCAAGCCACUUCUUGAAACGUCUUCCCUAGAAGGCGUGCAGAUGUUCUCCUAAGAACUGGCUAAAGGCUCCAACACGCCCAAGACCAGCCAUAUUUAACUGGCGAUUUUUGAGUCUCCAGCAGUCUGGAAGUAAACAUUUGAAAUCAGACUGGGGGAGUGAAAAUGCUGGUGAUGGCCAAGAUAAGCUUUACUACUGGGAGCUGCCAAAAGAGAACGUUGCUGCCAAAGGAAUGUGCAGAUGUUGGAAAUCUCAUCGAACAGAGUUCUUAAAGAGCAUCGGGUGCCUUGAGCUUGGCUAUGCUCAGGGUUCUGCAAGACUUCUGUGGAUUAGGAAACCUCCACAGAACUGGAUGGGAAAGAAAACAGGUUGAGGGUGGGAUGAGUUUACUGUAGGUACCCAGAAAUUAAACUGUUUGCAUCUAAAUAUUGGUUGUAUCUGCAGAACCUGUUUAACUGAUUCUUUUCAUCAUGAGAUAAUUUAGUUUUACAGAUACAGAGUCCUAUUGUGUAUCUCUCAGCAUGUGAUGCAAGGGUGGCAACAGCUAGUCUAAUCACAGCCAACAAUAAAGAGGAAAUUGUAAUUAAUGGCA
rnacentral:lncRNA from 1 species